AGUCCCCACGGCAGGGCCAGAACGUUCCCUCUUGAGACUGCUGGGCAUAUUAACAGAGGUGGUGCAUGUGAAGGGUUUCCUCCUUCCUUCCUCUUGAGCACAGGGCCCGGGUGCCCAGGACACACCGAGAGCCCACUGAGGGAGGACAGCUGCAGAGUGCUGUGCCAGAGCCAUCUUCAGCAAAUGUUCGAGGAGCCUGAGGUUCUACCACUCUCCACCGGUAACCAGGACCAGAGUGUGCUGAAGACCAGCCUGCCCUCACAUCACCAACAAGGAUCCAACCCCAUGAGGAAGAUAAAGCAUCUCCCAAGCUGAAAGUAUGAAAUCUCUUCAUUUAAAAAUAUGUAACUAAUUUAAUUUUGCAACUAUUUGUAUGUUGUUGACAGUAGCUUUUAAAUCAAUACAAUUAAAUAAGAAAUGAAAGGAGCUCAAAACCAGUGAGACUUCCCAGCACAGCGCUUUCAAAUUCUCCAGCUCUCUACUUUGUAGAUACAGUAGUACAGUAUUUUACCAAUGAUACUUCACUGUUUUUUAAAUCUUGGCCAAGCUGUUCUUUGGGCCGGGGCUGCUCCUAUCUGUACUGGCGAUGGAGCUCCCGAGUAGGGGAGAAGCUGGGCCCCAGCUAUGCUUUGGAUAUGGUUGCAAUGUCCUCCAAGAGGCCACUGUUACGAAAGUCUCUGCUCUGCAGGCCAGGCUAUUUGGAGGUGGUGGAUCCUUUGGGAGGCGGGGCCUGUGGGAGGCGGGGCCUUGGGCGGGGCCUGGUGAGAGGUCCCUAGCCUUUUGGAGGGGCGGGCCCAAGAAGGUGUCAGUGCUUUCUACUUCCGGUUAGAGAGCUGGCCUCUGCCCUGACUUGUGCCUUUCCACUGCAAUCUGCCUUUUCCGUGAGAUCCUCAGGAGAACUGAGGAGAUUGAGGCACUUGCCCUUGAAGCUCCAAAACUGUGAGCUAAAUAAACCUCUUUUAUUAAGUUA